CCAGCACCUCCUUCGACGCGACCUGAGCUCAUUCUCUCUCACUCUUGCCUGGAACCCUAUAGCGCUCGCUUCCUUCCUCUCCUGCUCUAUUUCCAUGGCUACUGUCUCUCCCUCAUUAACCGCCUCCGUCCCCUCACCGGCGCCAUCUCCUCUGCGGGCAAGCUCUCUCCGGCCGCAAGCCGGUGCUUCUCGUCCAACGAUAGCACGUCCUUGCUCUGUGAUCCAAACCCCAACUGGUCCAAAUGGCCUCCACACUUUGUUCUUUGUUUCUGGGUUUGCAGAUUCCGGGUUCUUCCUGCUCUCUCUCUGUCUCUUUUGAUUUUUAUUUCUUUUUAGAGUCUCUGAAAGAUUUUGUUCAAGAUCUAAGAAUUCACUUGUUUGUGAUUGUUAGUGACACUGAUAUUGUUCUUUGUUUGAUUUGACUGGGUUUACUUAGGUCUCUUUGCUUUGGAGAAAUGGAGGUCACGAUGCCCAUUUGCAAGACUGAUACUCCAACUCCGUUUAAGAUGUGGAGGUCGGUGAAGCUGUCAAGGUAGUUGUUCCGGAGUCUGUUCUAAAGAAGAGGAAGAGAGAAGAGGAAUGGGCCUUGGCAAAGAAGCAGGGGCUUGAAGCCACCAAGAAGAAGAAUGCUGAGAAUAGGAAGCUUAUUUACCACAAAUCCAAACAGUACACCAAGGAGUACGCGGAGAAGGACAAUGAGUUGGUCCAGUUGAAGCAUGAAGCAAGGCUGAAAGGAGGAUUCUAUGUCGAGCCAGCGUCUAAGCUUUUGUUUAUAUAUUGAGAUCUUUAUAGUUCUGGUUUUUUUCCUUAUACUUUUAAUUAUUGUAUUUCCAGUUCUUCGGAGGCUCGGCCCUUGAGGCUUGAUCAGUUGCUGCCUUGCUGGGUUAUUCACUCCGGUCACUCCACCGAAUCUAGGAUGUUAAAGAGAUAUUCUAAUACAACCACAAUUGGUUAUAGCAAUCACAAUUGUAGUUUGGAUUUGCAGUAAAUGAAGCCAAUGAAGGACUGAAAGUGGGUGAAUUGAUUGUUGGGGGCUUUGGUUGUGAGGGAAAAUGGAGUUUUUUUUAUGAAGAAAGCUUCCACAGCUGAGUUGGAUGCUUUCUAUCCAGUUAGAGAGGAAAGCCGAGUUGAAAUCCCCAAGACCCGAUUUAGGCUAAGGAACCCAAUUGUUUAUGCAGAGGGGAAAAGAGGCAUUAAAGUUUUUCUACUGAAGUUUACUAAGAUGUUAUCAUAGGUCCUGUUGCUGAGGAUAUGUUCCAUUGGCAAGCAAGGGGAACAGAGAACGAGGGGAGGACAAUAAGAGACUAAGAUGGGAGAUACCAAGGCACCAAUGGUCAGGUUGCCUUGGCAGUUUAUUUGCUAUAAUAAAGACAUCAACAAGGUACAUUCCGGUAUGUUCCAACAGAGAUUUCUUGUCAGCAUGUGGAGUGACAAGCAGUCGCAACCAAGCUCAGCCGAAGAAAAACCAACUGAGGACAUCUUCGAAGAGCUAAUAAUGUAAAACUCUUGGUUUACAAUACUGCAAUAGUACUUGCUAGGCUAGCCUUGUAGUAGGUUAAUUUGGGUUUUAUUUUGCCUAUUUUGUGAACUGUGAAGGAUGAUGAUUUUGGACAAAAUACCCCAAUAUUGAAAUCACUUUUGUCAACUGUGGAUAUUGCAUUUUAUAGCAGCAGCUACAUAUUUUGUGGA